CAAGUCGAGGGGCAGCAUGACUGUAGCAAUACAGUUGAUGGCGACCGGCAAACGGGUGCGGAACACGUACACAACCUUCCUUUAAGCGGGGAAUAGCCCGGGGAAACCCGGAUUAAUACCCCAUAGUAUAUUGAAGAGGCAUCUCUUUAUUAUUAAAGAUUUAUCACUUGAAGAUGGGUGUGCGGCUGAUUAGCUAGUUGGAGGGGUAACGGCCCACCAAGGCAACGAUCAGUAACUGGUGUGAGAGCACGACCAGUCACACGGGCACUGAGACACGGGCCCGACUCCUACGGGAGGCAGCAGUAAGGAAUAUUGGUCAAUGGACGAAAGUCUGAACCAGCCAUGCCGCGUGGAGGAUGAAGGUCCUCUGGAUUGUAAACUUCUUUUAUCUGGGACGAAAAAAGGGAAUUCUUUCUCGUCUGACGGUACCAGAUGAAUAAGCACCGGCUAACUCCGUGCCAGCAGCCGCGGUAAUACGGAGGGUGCAAGCGUUAUCCGGAUUCACUGGGUUUAAAGGGUGCGUAGGUGGGUUGGUAAGUCAGUGGUGAAAUCCCCGAGCUUAACUUGGGAACUGCCAUUGAUACUAUCAGUCUUGAAUACCGUGGAGGUCAGCGGAAUAUGUCAUGUAGCGGUGAAAUGCUUAGAUAUGACAUAGAACACCAAUUGCGAAGGCAGCUGGCUACACGAAUAUUGACACUCAGGCACGAAAGCGUGGGGAUCAAACAGGAUUAGAUACCCUGGUAGUCCACGCCCUAAACUAUGGAUACUCGACAUACGCGAUACACUGUGUGUGUCUGAGCGAAAGCAUUAAGUAUCCCACCUGGGAA
rnacentral:rRNA from 1 species